CUACGGGGCGCAGCAGCAGGGAAUAUUGCACAAUGGACGGAAGUCUGAUGCAGCGACGCCGCGUGGAUGAUGAAGGCCUUCGGGUUGUAAAAUCCUUUUCAGGGAGAAGAGGAAGGACGGUAUCCCUGGAAUAAGCGUCGGCUAGACUACGUGCCAGCAGCCGCGGUAAUACGUAGGACGCAAGCGUUAUCCGGAUUUACUGGGCGUAAAGCGUCUGUAGGCGGUUUAGUAAGUUUGAUGUGAAAGCUCCAGGCUCAACUUGGAGAGUGCAUUGAAUACUGCUAGACUUGAGGGGAUCAGAGGAAAGCGGAAUUUCCGGUGUAGCGGUAAAAUGCGCAGAUAUCGGAAAGAACACCAGUGGCGAAGGCGGCUUUCUGGGAUCAACCUGACGCUGAGAGACGAAAGCUAGGGUAGCGAACAGGAUUAGAUACCCGCGUAGUC
rnacentral:rRNA from 1 species